AUGCUCAGCUGGCUAGCUAGUGCCGGACCCGCUGUAGGGAGAGGCAGCCAGGGCUCCAGGGCCGCCCCGCACCCCACAUCGUGCUGGGCACCGCCAUGUUCCCCUCCUACACGCUGCGCCACGCGGCUGGCCCGCCCUCCCUCCCCUCCUUUGAGACUGCUUUCCCCGUCCCUCGAGUCUCUCACCUCUCCCUGCCCUUUAUUCUCCCCUCACAGCCCUCCCAGACACCCAGCAAGGAGCAAAAUGGCCAGGGCAGCACCCCCUGUUUCCGGAGAACUGCAGCAAGGGGUGGACGACCUGGGGGACCAGGGACCCCAGACCCGCCUGGAGCCCUGGGGGUGGCCACAGCCCCGGGAGGGCUGGAUCCGGAGGACUGGCCAGCAGGAUCGCUCAGGAUGGAAGUCUUCUAUUCAAAGCUCCAGCCUGGACGCCUUGGAAGUGACCUGUCCUGAGCUGGACAGCCAAGACGUGGUGGUGGCGGCUGUGCUGGGCUCCAGCUCAUGGUGGCCUCCAGGUGGGCACUGGGGCCUUAGGGGACAGGGUUGCUUUUCAUGGUUCGGCUGAGGGGAUGGCAGAGCUGUCCUGUAUUCCGCCGCCUCUGCCCAUGGAUGCGGCCGCAUGUGGGUCUCCAUCUUUGUCCCAUCCUUGACCAUCUCACUAAGACUCAGGGAGCCACAGUGGCCGCUCCCCCACUAGCUGGCUGGGAAAAGGCCCACAGUGCUGAGCACACACCAGGGCGGCCGGGGAUUGAUCACUGCCUGAAUGUCCCCAGACGGAUGCCCGUGUGCCCUUGGGCAGCCUUCCCCUCGGACAGGCUGUCCAGGCUGGGAAACCCUAAGCCAGAGGGAUUAAGAAGAAAGGACAGAGUUGACUGUCCCCUUGGCGAAUUUGUGCUUCAUUUAGGGUAUAUUUGCUCGGUGGUCAAAACACAGAGGUGAUGGUGCUAAGGGUCCAGACACGUCCCAUCUGCCUGGCCAGCCUCCUACAGAUCCCCAGCCCCGUCCAGCCCUGCCCGCCGCGCCCCGGGCCUGCCUCUCCCCUCACAGCCAUCCUGCACAUUCCGGUGUCCCAGUGGCGAUGGGGGGUGGGGUGGGGGAAGGGUCCCCAAUACACCAGGGGGUGCACGGACCCUCAGUAUGGGUGCUGAGGCAGCUCUCUGUGGAAAUGCAGGAUUGGGUCAGGACCCCAGAGCCAUGCAGGGCCCUCUGCCCCCAGCCAGGACUCUGAGUCCCUCUUGCCAGCCUCUGCUGCUCCGUGAGAGGUAGGAGCUACCAGCCUGGGGUCCAGGCCAGGCACACUCAGGAUGCCUGCCUG
rnacentral:lncRNA from 1 species